rnacentral:rRNA from 1 species
GACGAACGCUGGCGGCGUGCUUAACACAUGCAAGUCGAACGGAGUACCCGGAACUGAAGCUUCGGCAGAUGUUCCGGACUACUUAGUGGCGGACGGGUGAGUAACACGUGAGUAACCUGCCCUUGAGUGGGGAAUAACAUACCGAAAGGUGUGCUGGAAGAUGGUCUCGCGUCUGAUUAGCUAGUUGGUGGGGUAACGGCUCACCAAGGCGACGAUCAGUAGCCGGUCUGAGAGGAUGAACGGCCACAUUGGGACUGAGAUACGGCCCAGACUCCUACGGGAGGCAGCAGUGGGGAAUAUUGGGCAAUGGGGGAAACCCUGACCCAGCAACGCCGCGUGAAGGAAGAAGGGCCCUUCGGGUUGGUAAACGUUACUUUUAGUCUAGGACGAAGAACGUAGACGGUAC